UGCUACGGCCAUGCUACCCUGAACAAGCCCAAUCCGGUCUAAUCUUGGAAGGUAAGCAGAGUCGGGCCUGGUUAGUACUUGGAUGGGAGACCAGCUAGGAAGACCAGGUGCUGUAGAUG
ensembl:rRNA 5S_rRNA 5S ribosomal RNA